AUUGAACGCUGGCGGCAUGCUUUACACAUGCAAGUCGAACGCGGGUGAGGGGCAACUCUCACCUGAGUGGCGAACGGGUGAGUAAUACAUCGGAACGUACCCCGUAGUGGGGGAUAGCCCGGCGAAAGCCGGAUUAAUACCGCAUAUGCUCUACGGAGGAAAGCAGGGGACCCGCAAGGGCCUUGCGCUAUGGGAGCGGCCGAUGUCCGAUUAGCUUGUUGGUGGGGUAACGGCCUACCAAGGCGACGAUCGGUAGCUGGUCUGAGAGGA
rnacentral:rRNA from 1 species